GAUGAACGCUGGCGGCGUGCCUAAUACAUGCAAGUCGAGCGAACGGACGAGAAGCUUGCUUCUCUGAUGUUAGCGGCGGACGGGUGAGUAACACGUGGAUAACCUACCUAUAAGACUGGGAUAACUUCGGGAAACCGGCGCUAAUACCGUAUAAUAUUUUGAACCGCAUGGUUCAAAAGUGAAAGACGGUCUUGCUGUCACUUAUAGAUGGAUCCGCGCUGCAUUAGCUAGUUGGUAAGGUAACGGCUUACCAAGGCAACGAUGCAUAGCCGACCUGAGAGGGUGAUCGGCCACACUGGAACUGAGACACGGUCCAGACUCCUACGGGAGGCAGCAGUAGGGAAUCUUCCGCAAUGGGCGAAAGCCUGACGGAGCAACGCCGCGUGAGUGAUGAAGGUCUUCGGAUCGUAAAACUCUGUUAUUAGGGAAGAACAUAUGUGUAAGUAACUGUGCACAUCUUGACGGUACCUAAUCAGAAAGCCACGGCUAACUACGUG
rnacentral:rRNA from 1 species